UACGUAGGGGCCUAGCGUUGUCCGGAUUUAUUGGGCGUAAAGAGCUCGUAGGCGGUUUGGUAAGUCGGGUGUGAAAUCUCCACGCUCAACGUGGAGGGGCCACCCGAUACUGCCAUGACUGGAGUCCGGAAGAGGCGAGUGGAAUUCCUGGUGUAGCGGUGAAAUGCGCAGAUAUCAGGAGGAACACCAAUGGCGAAGGCAGCUCGCUGGGACGGUACUGACGCUGAGACGCGAAAGCGUGGGGAGCAAACAGG
rnacentral:rRNA from 1 species